CUUUUUGUGCACUGUCAGUUCACUCAGCAUGUGUGGAGGAUCUUCAGGGAUUGGUCUAAUGCGAACUUCCCUAUACCAGAUGGCAGCUUUCGUAGCACUAAGGAGUGGUGGUUGCAGGCUCGUUCUGAUGCACCCAAGCACAUGCGCCGCAAUUUCGACACCGUUGCAAUACUUAUCUACUGGAGGAUUUGGAAAGAACGUAAUGCAAGAAUUUUUUAUCAGGUGGCUAGCAGCACGGACAUGGUGCUGGACCUUGUGAGAAAAGAAUUGCAAACCUGGAGGGCGGCAGGCUUGAUUCCUGGAAUCUGA
rnacentral:rRNA from 1 species